rnacentral:rRNA from 1 species
UACGUAGGGUGCGAGCGUUGUCCGGAAUUAUUGGGCGUAAAGGGCUCGUAGGCGGUCUGUCACGUCGGGAGUGAAAACACGGGGCUUAACCCCGUGCCUGCUUCCGAUACGGGCAGACUAGAGGUAUGCAGGGGAGAACGGAAUUCCUGGUGUAGCGGUGAAAUGCGCAGAUAUCUGGAGGAACACCGGUGGCGAAGGCGGUUCUCUGGGCCUGACCUGACGCUGAGGAGCGAAAGCGUGGGGAGCGAACAGG